GAAGGAAGGAAGCUGAUUUCAGAGCACCUCCUUCACUUCCUGUUCUCCUCACUAAGCAACUUAAUGAAGUUUGCCUCACAGAGGAUUUUGAACUCCAGAUUUUCUCCUACCUCUCACUUACCAACUAUAUAAUGUGAAUAAGAUGACUUACAUAUGUGAAAUCAUACAAAAAUAUUUCCACAUUAGCCAUAUCAGAAAAUAAAGCAAAAAAAAAAAAAAGAAGAAAGAAAAAGAAAAGAAAAAAGAUCCCUGCUUUUGUGCAGCCACAACUACUAGAGCUCCUCUUGGCCCUGAAACUGUGACCAGGCCCCCUGAACCCUUAUAUCCAAUCACAAAUGCUAUUCUCUACCCUGGAACUGCAUCCCAAAGCAGCUUAUGGACAACAGAGUGGUCAAUCAAAGCCAGGAGCAUUCAAAGCCAACAAAGAGUCCUCUGUAAUCUCUGACCAGCUGUCCAACCCACUGCUGUCUCUGGCCUGAGAACAUCUGAAGCUUCUUCUGCUGCUUCUGUUAAUGCUGCCUCCAAGCCCAUAAUGGAGUUCCUGUACCUACCUAGGGGUUGCAAAUUUCUCCUGCCUCACCCCUAAUUACACUUGGCUAGAUAAAUAUCUCCCUCUGAAUUUUGUUAGGUCUGCUGUUACAAAGUGUGAUUUGUUAUUUUAAGAUUUUUAAAGGAGAACCUUGGAAGAGUUCAUCUGAGUCUCCACCUACAUCCAACCAUCUUUGCUCCAUCCUAGUGUUAACUAAUUCUUAGUACCCAAUGACAAAAUAACUGUUGCAAUACAGGCUUUAUGUACAAGUCUGAGCUCACAAUAUUAUUAAGUUUAAUAAAAUUAUCCCUAGUGAGGCAGGUAGGUGGUGCAGUCAAUAGCCCAAUGGGUAUAGAGUGAGGACAACAGGAGUUCAAGUCAUUCCUCAGACACUUCAUAUCUAUAUGACUCUGGGUAAGUCAUAUAACCGCUACCUGCCUCAGUUUCCUGAAAUGUACAUUAAAGAUCAAAAUAGCACCUUCUUCCCAGGGUUGUUUGUGAUGAGUAUGAAAUGAGUUAAUGCUGACAAAGCAAACAUUUAGCACAGUGCUUACUAGUAAGCAGUAGGUGCUUAAUAAAUGUUUCUUCCCCCAUUCAAUGAAUAAUUUAUGGGGAAUAAUUUAUCCAUCAGUUUUGCCUAAAUAGGCUAUUUAAUUUUAGAGUAAAAAAUGAAUCAAAAAGAAGAUCUAACAGUGUUGCAUUGAGCCAGUAGGAAGUACAAACUAUACGUAUCUAUGGAGGCAGGACACCUGCCACAUUGGUGUAACAAUGAUCUAUAUCUAUACUACAUUCUCAAUUUAUAAAAUGGGCUUUAAUUAUUAAUUAAAGUAUGAAAUAAUAAUAAAUGGAAUGCAAUAUAGCA